rnacentral:SRP_RNA from 1 species
GCCGACACAGUGGCGUGUGUCUGUAGUCUCAGCUAUUAGAGAGGCUAAGGUGGGAGGAUCGCUUGAGCCCAGGAGUUCUGGGCUGUAGUGCACUAUGCCGAUCAGGUGUCCGCACUAAGUUUGGCAUCAAUAUGGUGAUCUCCCAGGAGCAGGGGAUCACCAGGCUGCCUAAGGAGGGGUGAACCGGCCCAGGUUGGAAAUGGAACAGGUCAAAACUCCCAUGCUGAUCAGUAGUUGGGUGGUGCCUGUGAAUAGCCACUGCACUCCAGCCUGGGCAACAUAGCAAGACCCUGUCUCU